CCCCUCACACCUGUGUGCUUGAUUCCUCUGUCCGCGAGGGAAAAAAAGAAACAUCCAUUUCGCUGUGAACCGUGAGCACGAUGUCUUCCACAUCUUGCGCAAUCCGCCAGCCCUCACUUCGGCUUGCAAUAUUCCCAUCGUAUCUUUUCUGACCUUUUUAAUUAUUUUGUAUUUUUGUAUUUUUGCUUUUUUUAACCAUUUGUUUUGCGGUCAAUGGGUGACGGGGACAUACGGCUGCAUGACAUGUGUGUACAGCACAUGUCUAUAUAUACUAGUAUAUAGUAUACACCCGCCCAGGGGACAGAAGGAGGAAUCAUGAGGUUGAGAUGAAAACACGGGAUGCAACCAAAACGGAAAAACAAAAACAAAAAUAAAAAUUGCGCCGAAUGAAGUAGUUAUUCACACACUCCUGAAAUAAGCGGGGGGGAAAUACCCGCAAGAUGUUCAAGAGCCGCUUCUUCCCCCCCACCAACACACACAAAAGAAAAGGAUAUAUACUAGCGGGAGAUUCUAGAUGGAAGGGAAUGGUACUCG
rnacentral:sRNA from 1 species